rnacentral:RNase_P_RNA from 1 species
CAGCCAGGCCAGGUGAUCGCGGCUGGACAGACGAAAGGGUCCAGACGAGGAAAGUCCGGGCUUCACAGGGCAGGAUGCCGGAUAACGUCCGGUGGAGGUAACUCCCAGACCAGUGCAACAGAAAUAAACCGCCUCCUUUGCGGGGUAAGGGUGGAAAGGCAGUGUAAGAGACUACCGCCGCUGUGGUAACAGAGCGGGCACAUGUAAACUCCAUUCGAAGCAAGACCGAGAAGAAAGCCAUACGGCGGCCCGUCGUGCUUUCAGGUAGGUCGCUGGAGCCUUCUGGCAACGGAAGGCCUAGAUAGAUGAUCACUCAACGACAUAACCCGGCUUAUCGGUCUGACUGUGUA